rnacentral:rRNA from 1 species
ACGGAGGAUGCGAGCGUUAUCCGGAUUUAUUGGGUUUAAAGGGUGCGUAGGCGGGAUUUUAAGUCAGUGGUGAAAGUUUGCAGCUCAACUGUAAAAUUGCCAUUGAAACUGAAGUUCUUGAGUGUGGUAGAGGUAGGCGGAAUGUGUAAUGUAGCGGUGAAAUGCUUAGAUAUUACACAGAACACCGAUUGCGAAGGCAGCUUACUGGAGCACAACUGACGCUGAGGCACGAAAGCGUGGGGAUCAAACAG